rnacentral:rRNA from 3 species
UACGUAGGUGGCAAGCGUUGUCCGGAAUUAUUGGGCGUAAAGCGCGCGCAGGCGGCCUAUCCAGUCUGUCUUAAAAGUUCGGGGCUCAACCCCGUGAUGGGAUGGAAACUAGUAGGCUAGAGUAUCGGAGAGGAAAGCGGAAUUCCUAGUGUAGCGGUGAAAUGCGUAGAUAUUAGGAAGAACACCAGUGGCGAAGGCGGCUUUCUGGACGAAAACUGACGCUGAGGCGCGAAAGCCAGGGGAGCGAACGGG